rnacentral:rRNA from 1 species
GUAGCGGCGAGCGAACGGGGAGGAGCCCAGAGCCUGAAUCAGUGUGUGUGUUAGUGGAAGCGUCUGGAAAGGCGCGCGAUACAGGGUGACAGCCCCGUACACAAAAAUACACAUAUUGUGAGCUCGACGAGUAGGGCGGGACACGUGGUAUCCUGUCUGAAUAUGGGGGGACCAUCCUCCAAGGCUAAAUACUCCUGACUGACCGAUAGUGAACCAGUACCGUGAGGGAAAGGCGAAAAGAACCCCGGCGAGGGG